rnacentral:tRNA from 1 species
UUAAGUGUAAAAAAGACUUCUAAUCUUUAAAUAGCAUUCUGCUACACUUCUC